GACGAACGCUGGCGGCGUGCUUAACACAUGCAAGUCGAACGGUGAAGCGAGUGCUUGCACUCGUGGAUCAGUGGCGAACGGGUGAGUAACACGUGAGUAACCUGCCCAUCACUCUGGGAUAAGCACUGGAAACGGUGUCUAAUACUGGAUACGACCAACCCUUGCAUGGGGUGUUGGUGGAAAGAUUUAUCGGUGAUGGAUGGACUCGCGGCCUAUCAGCUUGUUGGCGGGGUAAUGGCCCACCAAGGCGACGACGGGUAGCCGGCCUGAGAGGGUGACCGGCCACACUGGGACUGAGACACGGCCCAGACUCCUACGGGAGGCAGCAGUGGGGAAUAUUGCACAAUGGGCGAAAGCCUGAUGCAGCGACGCCGCGUGAGGGAUGACGGCCUUCGGGUUGUAAACCUCUUUCAGCAGGGAGGAAGCGAAAGUGACGGUACCUGCAGAAGAAGCACCGGCUAACUACGUG
rnacentral:rRNA from 1 species